GCGAGCACAGCUCAGUGGUAGAGCCCCUGCUUAGCAUGCACGAGGUCCUGGGUUCAAUCCCCAGUACCUCCA
rnacentral:tRNA from 1 species